rnacentral:misc_RNA from 1 species
GCAAGAUAGAGGAGAAAAUUAUUGGUAGCAACCUUCAACACAUAUGUGGCAAGGUCUAUUUGACUUGUGGUGUUGAAUCUGUUGUUCCCAAAUUUCACUUGCUAUGCCAUAUGUCAUAUUUUUUUCACAUGCUGUCCCAUGUUGAUGCAACUGCAAGUAAUUCUAGGCAAAUCCCAAGUUCAAGCAACCCAUUAGAAUCAAAUAAAAUAAAGUUUGUCAUGCCUUUUUGCAAUAAUUACAUGCCCUUCAUUUCUGAAUCUGAAAUUAAGCAAAAG